GACGAACGCUGGCGGCGUGCUUAACACAUGCAAGUCGAACGGUAAGGCCCUUCGGGGUACACGAGUGGCGAACGGGUGAGUAACACGUGGGUGAUCUGCCCUGCACUUCGGGAUAAGCCUGGGAAACUGGGUCUAAUACCGGAUAGGACUCCGGACUGCAUGGUCUGGGGUGGAAAGCUUUUGCGGUGUGGGAGGGGCCCGCGGCCUAUCAGCUUGUUGGGGGGGUGAUGGCCGACCAAGGCGACGACGGAUAGCCGGCCUAAGAGGGUGACCGGCCACGCUGGGACUGGGAUACGGCCCAGACUCCUACGGGAAGCAGCAGUGGGGAAUAUUGCACAAUGGGCGCAAGCCUGAUGCAGCGACGCCGCGUGAGGGAUGACGGCCUUCGGGUUGUAAACCUCUUUCAGCAGCGACGAAGCGAAAGUGACGGUAGGUGCAGAAGAAGGACCGGCCAACUACGUGCCAGCCGCCGCUGUAA
rnacentral:rRNA from 1 species